AGCGACUUCAGACCUAUAAAUCUAAUUCACGGGGCUGCCAAGAUCUUUGCCAAAGUGCUUGCGGUGCGUGUGGCCCCCUACCUGCAUGCUCUCAUAUCUCAGGCUCAGAGCGUGUUCAUAUGCAAACGAAACAUGCAUGGGAACUUUAAGUUUGUGCGCAAUACGGCACGAUGGCUGCACCAAAAUCGCAAGCAAGCGAUUUUGAUGAAGAUCGACAUAUCCAAAGCUUUUGAUACUUUAUCUUGGGAGUUCCUUCUCGAGGUUCUGAGGAAAAGAGGAUUUGGCCGAAGAUGGUGCUCCUGGAUUUGUGGCCUCCUUUCUACAACAUCCUCAUUGGUUCUCGUCAAUGGUGAAUUGUGCCAGCCGUUUGCACUAGGUCAGGGAGUUAGGCAAGGUGAUUCCUUGUCGCCUACUCUGUUUAUUCUUGCCAUGGAAACAUUGCACAACAUGUUAUAG
rnacentral:rRNA from 1 species